UACGUAGGGUGCAAGCGUUGUCCGGAAUUAUUGGGCGUAAAGAGCUCGUAGGCGGUCUGUCGCGUCGACCGUGAAAACCCGUGGCUUAACUGCGGGCUUGCGGUCGAUACGGGCGGGCUGGAGUUCGGUAGGGGAGACUGGAAUUCCUGGUGUAGCGGUGAAAUGCGCAGAUAUCAGGAGGAACACCGGUGGCGAAGGCGGGUCUCUGGGCCGAUACUGACGCUGGAGGAGCGAAAGCGUGGGGAGCGAACAGG
rnacentral:rRNA from 1 species